rnacentral:rRNA from 1 species
GACGUAGGGUGCGAGCGUUGUCCGGAUUUAUUGGGCGUAAAGAGCUCGUAGACGGCUCGUCGCGUCGACCGUGAAAACCCGCGGCUUAACUGCGGGCUUGCGGUUGAUACGGGCGGGCUAGAGUUCGGUAGGGGAGACUGGAAUUCCUGGUGUAGCGGUGAAAUGCGCAGAUAUCAGGAGGAACACCGGUGGCGAAGGCGGGUCUCUGGGCCGAUACUGACGCUGAGGAGCGAAAGCGUGGGGAGCGAACAGG